CCUACGGGUGGCAGCAGUGAGGAAUAUUGGUCAAUGGGCGGAAGCCUGAACCAGCCAAGUAGCGUGCAGGAUGACGGCCCUACGGGUUGUAAACUGCUUUUAUACGGGAAUAACGCGCCUUACGUGUAGGGCUUUGCAUGUACCGUAUGAAUAAGGACCGGCUAAUUCCGUGCCAGCAGCCGCGGUAAUACGGAAGGUCCGGGCGUUAUCCGGAUUUAUUGGGUUUAAAGGGUGCGUAGGCGGGCAUUUAAGCCGGCGGUCAAAUUGCGGGGCUCAACCCCGGCCUGCCGUCGGAACUGGGGGCCUUGAGUGGGCGAGAAGUAUGCGGAAUGCGUGGUGUAGCGGUGAAAUGCAUAGAUAUCACGCAGAACCCCGAUUGCGAAGGCAGCAUACCGGCGCCCUACUGACGCUGAGGCACGAAAGUGCGGGUAUCGAACAGGAUCAGAUACCCGAGUAGUC
rnacentral:rRNA from 1 species